AGCGAGGUAUGGAGCUCUUACAGAGUGUUUUUAAACGUAGGAACUUCAUACCAUGCUCG
rnacentral:pre_miRNA from 1 species